UAGUCCUGGUGUCACGACCUGCAGGAUCGGCAAGGUGCUGAUCAGAAUCUCUCCACUCCUAGCCCUCCUUCUCUUCUCUUUUUCCCUCUCUCUCCCCCUCUCUCCUUCUCUCCCCUGUUUUGCCGGAACUCAUGGCGGCUUCACGCCCUCGGUCCACGCCUUCCUGGAUUGGGAACACCUGGGCCUCAUCAGACCAGCUGGUAUAUUAGAAGGAGGAGAUCAGCUGUUCAACGCUGGAUUGUUGUGAAGACUCUAAUUCCCCGGACCCGUCCCCGUGUUUCCCCGUGUGGAGUGUGGAAGGAGUGACUGGUCGCUAGCGGAGAAGAGAGAGGUUGAACUGAGCGCGUGUGUGAUUUCCCCGUUUUCCCUGGAGCCCUGGACCCCUCCCCCUCACGUCUUGUAUAUAGCACUAACCCCGCACUGUCUGUACAUACACUUGGUGAAGAUCUGUAAAUAAACCGUCUCUGUUUAAACGCUA